AUUGAACGCUGGCGGCAGGCCUAACACAUGCAAGUCGAACGAGUGGCGGACGGGUGAGUAAUGUCUGGGAAACUGCCCGAUGGAGGGGGAUAACUACUGGAAACGGUAGCUAAUACCGCAUACCAUCGGAUGUGCCCAGAUGGGAUUAGCUAGUAGGUGGGGUAACGGCUCACCUAGGCGACGAUCCCUAGCUGGUCUGAGAGGAUGACAGGCAACACUGGAACUGAGCAACGGUCCAAACUCCGACGGGAGGAAGCAGUGGGGAAUAUUGCACAAGGGGGGAAAGCCUGCUGCAGCCAUGCCGCGUGUAUGAAGAAGGCCUUCGGGUUGUAAAGUACUUUCAGCGAGGAGGCGGUACUCGCAGAAGAAGCACCGGCUAACUCCGUGCCAGCAGCCGCGGUAAUUC
rnacentral:rRNA from 1 species